UUGCUUUGGCAGCACAUAUACUAAAAUUGGAAUGAUACAGAGAAUAUUAGAAUGGCUCCUGCACAAGGAUGACAUGCAAAUUUGUGAAGCAUUCUAUAUUGAA
ensembl:snRNA U6 U6 spliceosomal RNA